GCAAACUUGGUCAUUUAGAGGAAGUAAAAGUCGUAACAAGGUUUCCGUAGGUGAACCUGCGGAAGGAUCAUUAUUGAAUAUGUUUCUAAAUGAGUUGUAGCUGGCUCUCUAGAGCAUGUGCACGCUUGUUUAGAUCUCAUUUUCAUCCACCUGUGCACCUAUUGUAGUCUUUGGCUGGGUAUUGAAGAAGUGAUCAGACUAUCAACAUUUUGUUGGAUAUAAGGAUUUGCAUUGCGAAAGCUUUGCUGUCCUUUAUUUGAUCAUAGAAGCAUUUUCUCACCAAAGCCUAUGUUUCAUUAUACUCUAUUGAAUGUCUUUGAAUGUCUUAAUGGGCUUUCGUGCCUAUGUACAUGAUAAUACAACUUUCAGCAACGGAUCUCUUGGCUCUCGCAUCGAUGAAGAACGCAGC
rnacentral:misc_RNA from 1 species